rnacentral:rRNA from 1 species
UACGAAGGGGGCUAGCGUUGCUCGGAAUCACUGGGCGUAAAGCGCACGUAGGCGGAUCGAUCAGUCAGGGGUGAAAUCCCAGAGCUCAACUCUGGAACUGCCUUUGAUACUGUCGGUCUAGAGUAUGGAAGAGGUGAGUGGAAUUCCGAGUGUAGAGGUGAAAUUCGUAGAUAUUCGGAGGAACACCAGUGGCGAAGGCGGCUCACUGGUCCAUUACUGACGCUGAGGUGCGAAAGCGUGGGGAGCAAACAGG